rnacentral:rRNA from 1 species
UUCGUAGGCGGACCAAUUAGUAUGGGUUAAAGACCGGGCCCAACCUCGGAUCUGCUCUGUAAACGGUUGGUCUAGAGUACUGGAGAGGAUAGCAGAAUUCCUGGUGUAGAGGUGAAAUUCGUAGAUAUCAGGAGGAAUACCAGAGGCGAAGGCGGCUAUCUGGCCAGGUCACUGACGCUAAAGAACGAAAGCGUGGGGAGCGAAACA